GCUCCUGGUUCUGCCACUUCCCCACCCACCCUCAAUACCCCCUACUCCCCUCUCCCAGACUAGCUACCUGCUGCUAAGACUCUAGACCAGACUGUCAUUGCUGUGAGUCCCAAUUGUUCCUGCCCCUCCUGUCAAAGUCACAAAGACCCUAGUAGAGGCAUGAGAUAGGCCUGAGCUCAGAUUCCAGGGCCCCCUCUCUCGUCCCUCUACCCUUACUCUGCCCACACCCAUGCUGUGUGGGAAGCAGGGAGAGAAAAAACCCUCACCACCGCUCUCCUCCGCCCUACCCAGGCGGAAUCCCACCUGCACUGAGACUCAUAUGGUAGGGAAUUCCCUCUGAAAUGGAGUGCUCAGACACUGGACAAUCAAACACAUGACAAAUGUCCACUUCACUGUCUCCCUGUCUGCCUCAUCAAUGCCUGCUCAUUCCUAAAACGUCACUUCUAUAAAACCUUCCUCCAACCUAGGUGGGCUCAGGGGCUCCCUCCAUGUUCCCACGGCACCUGGUACCUGCCUCUACCAAAGCUUUCUUACUUUAUUCAGUUUGCAGAUUUGUCUUCCUCUGCAGACCGCGAGUUCCUUGGGGGUCUCUGAGCAGGGCACACGCAUCCAUGACUCCUUGACUGUACCCACUGGGUGGCAUUAGUGGGAGCUCAGAAAUUGACAAGUCAAUGACUAAAUGAAUAUAUACCCUGAGGCUCCCCACAUGGGAGCAGAUCGGCUUCUAACACAGUGAACACCUGGAUGCACGCGAUGAAGGGAUACUUACUAUAGAGAUGGGGUGCCCAGGAGAACUGAGGAGCAAAGCUAGGUUCCUAUGCUUACAGCUAUUAGAGAAGAUAACCUGUUAGCAAGUGACCUUCUUCCCUAAAGGGCUGUGAAGGUACAUUUUCCAAAAGACACUCCAGAGAGGGGCCUGGGAGGAUGUGCGUUCCACUGUAAGCAUGAAGUCUUGGUUGCUAUAAAUCCGGAAUUGUGUGGGCUGAGAUGAAAAUGCUUUACAGUCAUUAGGCCCCAUUGUGAAGGUAAUUAUAUAAAGUCCUACUGCUGACACCUGGGCCAGGAGUGGGCUGGAACUGCCCUGAGUGGCCCCCACAGGGAAGAAGAGUGGGAGAAAAGCAUCUGGAAAGAUUUGAGAGGGGAGCAAGAGCCACUGGAAAUAGAAGAGAAGAAGCAGGAGAACAGAGGAAAGCAGCAGCAGAAGGAGCACGCAGGAGGAAAGCCUGAGGAUACGGACAGAGGUGGAAGGUGGAGCAGGGGCUGGGGCCAUGUGCUGGAUGAUACAUACUGACAGAGAAAAAGGCGGCCUGUGAUGACGCAUGCUGCCGCCUGGAGAAGGGAGCAGAGAGGCGGGUGAGGCCACAGUGAAUACCCACCUCAGGUGAGCAAACACUAACUAGUGCCCACUAUGCUCCAGGCACUGUGCUAAGGGAAGCAAAAGAUUUCUGGAGGAUAGAAAGGGAUAGAACUGUUGACAAACACAUGCCAACCCCUUACCUGCCGGGGUUUAGAGAGCAGUGAGGGAGAUGAACACAAAAGCCAAGAUUUUAAAAAUCAGUAGAUGGGUAGAUACACAUAAGAAAAAGAUUGCAGCCGGAGUUGCUGUCGUGGCUCAGUGGUUAAUGAAUCUGACCAGGAACCAUGAGGUUGUGGGUUCGAUCCCUGGCCUCACUCAGUGGGUUAAGGAUCCAGCGUUGCCGUGAGCUGUGGGGUAGGCCGGUGGCUACAGCUCCGAUUGGACCCCUGGCCUGUGAACCUCCAUAUGCCAAGGGUGCGGCCCUAAAAAGUCAAAAGACAAGACAAAAAAAAAAAAAAAGAAGAAGAAGAAGCGGGGCAUUGAACCUGAAGGGAGAGAUGGUGGCUGGAAAUAUGUGGGCUUCAUUGGCAGAGAGACAAUAGUGCUAAUGGAUGAAAGGGGAUGAGCUCUUCCCACGAAAAUGCACACGGCCAAGCAGUGGGCCCAGGCUGGACCCCUGAGAAACUCUACUGUUUAAGGGUGCGGGAAAGGUGGGCCCUAAGGGGGAUGCAAAAGGGAAAUCAGAGAAGUAGAAGGAGAAACAGAGGAGAUUUAGGCCAAGGAACACAACCCUUCAGUAAGGGAUGGGACAGCAGGGCCGGAAGCAGGAGAUAGGUCCAGAAGGUAAAGACUGAAAAGUGGCCCCUGGAGUUUGCAGAAUGGAGGGAACGGAUGAUCUUUUCACACACAUGUGUUUUGUGGGGCAAGAUGGAAGCUGGUGAGGCAAAGAGCAUAAGAGUUCCUAUACUAUUCUUUUUUUUUUUUUUAAUUGAAGUACAGUUUAAUUCCUUUACUCUUUUUUUUUGGCCACACCCACUGCAUGUGGAUGUUCCCAGGCCAGGGACUGAACCUGUGCCACAACAGUGACAAUGCCAGAUCUUUAACCACUGCACCACCAGGGAACUCCCUGAAUUCCUUUAUUCUUCUUACAACUUACAUCUUUGUUUGAAAUUGCAUCAAAAUAAAAAGCUUGCUUAAAAAAAAAAAAGGAUUUUUUAAAAAUAAUAAUGCGGUUCAAUGCAAAGAUCAAACAAUUCUAAAAGGUAUAAAACAGAAAAUGAAAAUCCUGCCUUCUCCCUAUUUGUAUCCAAAUCCCACCCCUCAGUGGUAAGUUUACCAUUGUUGGUAGUUCGAUGGUUUCCUCCUAGAUCUGUUUUGUUUAUGUAUUUGUUGUUACAAAAAUAGAAUCAUACUAUACAUCCUGUUUUGCAAAUACGUCACAGGCAUUUUGUCAUGACAAAAUAUUUCACUUUCAUUCUUCAAUACUGUACAUUUUUCUAUUGUAUGGAUACACAAAAAUUCAUUAUUAAUUUUGAAAUUUAAAAACUCAAAAGUUGGAGUUCCCUUCAUGGCUCUGUGGAAAUGAAUCUGACUAGCAUCCAUGAGGAUGCAGGUUCAAUCCCUGGCCUCGAUCAUGGGUUAAGGAUCCAGCAUUGCCGUGAGCUGUAGAGUAGGUCACAGGUGCGGCUUGGAUCCUGCGUUGCUGUGGCUCUAGCAUAGGCCGGCGGCUACAGCUCUGAUCAGACCCCUAGCCUGGGAACUUCCAUAUGCC
rnacentral:lncRNA from 1 species